rnacentral:rRNA from 1 species
GACGAACGCUGGCGGCGUGCCUAAUACAUGCAAGUCGAGCGAAUCAAUAGGAGCUUGCUCCUGUUGGUUAGCGGCGGACGGGUGAGUAACACGUGGGCAACCUGCCUGUAAGACUGGGAUAACUUCGGGAAACCGGAGCUAAUACCGGAUAAUCCUUUUCCACUCAUUGGGGAAAGCUGAAAGUCGGUUGCGGCUGACACUUACAGAUGGGCCCGCGGCGCAUUAGCUAGUUGGUGAGGUAACGGCUCACCAAGGCGACGAUGCGUAGCCGACCUGCGAGGGUGAUCGGCCACACUGGGACUGAGACACGGCCCAGACUCCUACGGGAGGCAGCAGUAGGGAAUCUUCCGCAAUGGACGAAAGUCUGACGGAGCAACGCCGCGUGAGCGAUGAAGGCCUUCGGGUCGUAAAGCUCUGUUGUUAGGGAAGAAUAAGUAUCGGAGUAACUGCCGGUACCUUGACGGUACCUAACCAGAAAGCCACGGCUAACUACGUGCCAGCCGCCGCUGUAA